UGGGCUUGACAUCCCACGAACCUUCCCGAAAGGGUUGGGUGCCCGCAAGGGAGCGUGGAGACAGGUGGUGCAUGGCUGUCGUCAGCUCGUGUCGUGAGAUGUUGGGUUAAGUCCCGCAACGAGCGCAACCCUCACCCCUUGUUGCGACCGGGUAAGCCGAGCACUCUAGGGGAACUGCUAGCGUCAAGCUGGAGGAAGGCGGGGAUGACGUCAAGUCAUCAUGCCCCUUACGCCCUGGGCUACACACGUGCUACAAUGGCCGGUACAAAGGGAUGCAAGACCGCGAGGUGGAGCUAACCCCAAAAAACCGGUCUAAGUUCAGAUUGCAGUCUGCAACUCGACUGCAUGAAGGAGGAAUCGCUAGUAAUCGCGCAUCAGCACGGCGCGGUGAAUACGUUCCCGGGCCUUGUACACACCGCCCGUCACACCACGAAAGCCGGCUGUACUCGAAGUCGCUGAG
rnacentral:rRNA from 1 species